UUCGGCUUGCUAUGCCCCAAGUACGCACUCAAGUAUCGCGGAAUAUACAUACCUACGCAUUACAUGCUAUGCUUUAAAGUCUUACGAUGCCUAGAGCUACCGAGCGGAAUCAAUUAUUUAUUUUGUCGUUUUGUUUUAUCUUCAGCUGUGCUAAUCAACGCGCAGCUAUAUUGAGAAAAUUUUAUUUAAAAAAUAAUUUAAUAAAUUGUUGGGUGAACACCAUAAAACUAUUUUUUAAUUCUAAUACGGGUAAUUUAUAAAUUAUGGAUGAGAUUUUUUUUAUAAAUUAAAAUACUUAAAUGUUAAAGUGAGGCAACAGCAAUAAGUAUAAAUAUUAUGUAAUAUGAAAGUUAAAGAGGAAUAAGAAGAACGGAAAUAUAUUUCCCCAUAAUGAAGAAAAAUGACAGAAAAUAAUAUGGCGGCAGCUCUCAAAGAAAUCCCGACUACAAAAUCUUGAUUGCGACAUAAAUUGAGUCCAUUAAAUAUUUUUUUAUUUACUUUUUUUUUGUAAACUACUACGGAACUGGAAAAUAAUAUUUAUAUAUCCAUUAUUCGGACAUCAAAGUUGGAUGACUUCCGACACAAAUAAUGACGUAACUUGUGACAGUCACUGUACCAGGCGCCAGACACAAAGAUAUAAAAAUAAUAAAACUCACCUAUUGAACUAUCGGGAUCAGAGAGGUCUGAAAGUGAAGGAACUUUUCGCAUUGAUGUAAAUCUGUCUGGUACUCUGGGC